rfam:Flavonifractor plautii ATCC 29863 genomic scaffold Scfld565, whole genome shotgun sequence.
AAAUGUAUACUGUUCCGAGUCCGUCCGCCUACGGGGUGACCUAGGGCUGGCGGACCGAUGGCCCCGGCUGGGGCCGCAGGGUGCCGCGGGAAACGGCGGUGCCUUCCGUGUUUGAAAAGGAACGACAGUCCGCGGCGG